rnacentral:rRNA from 1 species
UGAGUAACACGUAUCCAACCUGCCGUCUACUCUUGGACAGCCUUCUGAAAGGAAGAUUAAUACAAGAUGGCAUCAUGAGUCCGCAUGUUCACAUGAUUAAAGGUAUUCCGGUAGACGAUGGGGAUGCGUUCCAUUAGAUAGUAGGCGGGGUAACGGCCCACCUAGUCUUCGAUGGAUAGGGGUUCUGAGAGGAAGGUCCCCCACAUUGGAAUGAGACACGGUCCAA